UACGUAGGGGGCAAGCGUUGUCCGGAAUCAUUGGGCGUAAAGCGCGUGUAGGCGGCUCAGUAAGUCCACUCUGAAAGCCCGGGGCUUAACCCCGGGAGGCGGGUGGAUACUGCUGAGCUUGAGUCCGGAAGAGGCGAGUGGAAUUCCCGGUGUAGCGGUGAAAUGCGCAGAUAUCGGGAGGAGCACCAAUGGCGAAGGCAGCUCGCUGGGACGUGACUGACGCUGAGACGCGAAAGCGUGGGGAGCAAACAGG
rnacentral:rRNA from 1 species